UGGGGCUGGAGAAGGUCCCAAGGGUUGGGCUGUUCGCCCAUUAAAGUGGCACGCGAGCUGGGUUCAGAACGUCGUGAGACAGUUCGGUCCAUAUCCGGUGUAGGCGUUAGAAUAUUGAGAGGAUCCUUCUUUAGUACGAGAGGACCGAGAAGGACAUACCUCUGGUGUACCAGUUAUCGUGCCAACGGUAAACGCUGGGUAGCUAUGUAUGGAGAGGAUAACCGCUGAAAGCAUCUAAGUGGGAAGCCCACCUCAAGAUGAGUAUUCUCAUCACGUUAUUAAUAAGUGAGUAAGGUCACGGUAAGACUAACCGUUUAAUAGGC
rnacentral:rRNA from 1 species